UUGAACGCUGGCGGCAUGCCUUACACAUGCAAGUCGAGCGGCAGCGCGGGGGCAACCCUGGCGGCGAGCGGCGGACGGGUGAGUAAUACAUCGGAACGUGUCCUGUCGUGGGGGAUAACCAGUCGAAAGAUUGGCUAAUACCGCAUGAGAUCGAAAGAUGAAAGCGGGGGACCGCAAGGCCUCGCGCGAUUGGAGCGGCCGAUGUCGGAUUAGCUAGUUGGCGGGGUAAGAGCCCACCAAGGCUACGAUCCGUAGCUGGUUUGAGAGAACGACCAGCCACACUGGGACUGAGACACGGCCCAGACUCCUACGGGAGGCAGCAGUGGGGAAUUUUGGACAAUGGGGGAAACCCUGAUCCAGCCAUUCCGCGUGAGUGAAGAAGGCCUUCGGGUUGUAAAGCUCUUUCGGCAGGAACGAAACGGCGGAAUCUAAUACAUUCCACUAAUGGCGGUACCUGAAGAAGAAGCACCGGCUAACUACGU
rnacentral:rRNA from 1 species